AUUGAACGCUGGCGGCAGGCUUAACACAUGCAAGUCGAGCGGGGAAGGGUAGCUUGCUACCUGACCUAGCGGUGGACGGGUGAGUAAUGCUUAGGAAUCUGCCUAUUAGUGGGGGACAACAUUCCGAAAGGAAUGCUAAUACCGCAUACGCCCUACGGGGGAAAGCAGGGGAUCUUCGGACCUUGCGCUAAUAGAUGAGCCUAAGUCAGAUUAGCUAGUUGGUGGGGUAAAGGCCUACCAAGGCGACGAUCUGUAGCGGGUCUGAGAGGAUGAUCCGCCACACUGGGACUGAGACACGGCCCAGACUCCUACGGGAGGCAGCAGUGGGGAAUAUUGGACAAUGGGCGCAAGCCUGAUCCAGCCAUGCCGCGUGUGUGAAGAAGGCCUUUUGGUUGCAAAGCACUUUAAGCGAGGAGGAGGCUACUUGGAUUAAUACUCUAGGAUAGUGGACGUUACUCGCAGAAUAAGCACCGGCUAACUCUGUGCCAGCAGCCGCGGUAAUACAGAGGGUGCGAGCGCCAAUCGGAUUUACUGGGCGUAAAGCGUGCGUAGGCGGCUUUUUAAGUCGGAUGUGAAAUCCCUGAGCUUAACUUAGGAAUUGCAUUCGAUACUGGGGAAGCUAGAGUAUGGGAGAGGAUGGUAGAAAUACAAGGUGCACCGGUGAAAUGCGUAGAGAUCUGGGAGGAAUACCGAUGGUUAAUGUCUCCAUCUGGUCCUCAU
rnacentral:rRNA from 1 species